AAGGAAAAAUAGGAAGAAGAGCGCAUUGAAAAGCGGGGACUUCCAUUUCCUCUUCCCACUCGUCCAGCAGCUCUUUGGUCGUCUACAUCGUUUCAUUGUUGCUACACUAAAGAUGUCUGAUGAAGGUAAACUGUUUGUUGGAGGCCUGAGCUUCGAGACAAAUGAAGAUUCUCUGUCUGGAGCCUUCUCCAAAUAUGGGGAGAUUGAAAAAGUGGAUGUUAUCAGAGACAGAGAGACUGGAAGGUCUCGAGGCUUUGGCUUUGUGAAAUAUGAGAAUCCUGAAGAUGCAAAGGAUGCAUUGGGUGGAAUGGAUGGAAAGUCACUGGAUGGGCGAACCAUCCGUGUGGAUUACGCAGGAAGAGGGGGUGGACGUCGGGGUGGUGGCGGUGGUGGUGCCGGUGGCUUUGGAGGCCGUGGCUCAAGAUUUGGCCAGAGUCGCGGGAGAGGUGGCUAUAGAGAGGGUGGAUAUGGCGGCUAUAGUGACAGGAGUUAUGGCGGUGGUGACCGAGGUUAUCAAAGCAGGGACUACUCUGGUGGCUAUAAGAGUGGUGGCUACAGAGACAGCAGGAAUCAAGGAGGAUAUGACCGCAGCAGUGGUGGAUCGUACCGUGAUUCAUAUGACUAUGGAUGAUUGUUGAAGCUUGCACUGGACUGUCUUGUCUGAAAGGUUCCACUUCAGAUGGAUGUGAUGGCUGCAGCGCCACCUGUCAAGGUUCAGCUUGUUAGACGAGUGGAACUGUCAAGCAUGGCUGUGGGAAGGAGCCAUGACGAUACACUUGAGUCGAGGACUGAAAUGGGCUUCGUUUUAAUGAAUUUUAGUACAGUUGGACUGCAUACUAACUUGCGUCAAUAUGAUGUUCCUUUGUGGGCUUCAGUGAAGUUUCAUUGAUGUGCUUUUCUAUUUGCAUAUCAAGCUUGUGCAGUAUUCUCUCUGGCUGUAAAAAUGUGAAUAAACUACUUGACCUUAA